GAUGAACGCUGGCGGCGUGCCUAAUACAUGCAAGUCGAGCGAACAGACGAGGAGCUUGCUCCUCUAACGUUAGCGGCGGACGGGUGAGUAACACGUGGAUAACCUACCUAUAAGACUGGGAUAACUUCGGGAAACCGGAGCUAAUACCGGAUAAUAUAUUGAACCGCAUGGUUCAAUAGUGAAAGACGGUUUUGCUGUCACUUAUAGAUGGAUCCGCGCCGCAUUAGCUAGUUGGUAAGGUAACAGCUUACCAAGGCAACGAUGUGUAGCCGACCUGAGAGAGUGAUCGGCCACACUGGAACUGAGACACGGUCCAGACUCCUACGGGAGGCAGCAGUAGGGAAUCUUCCGCAAUGGGCGAAAGCCUGACGGAGCAACGCCGCGUGAGUGAUGAAGGUCUUCGGAUCGUAAAACUCUGUUAUUAGGGAAGAACAAAUGUGUAAGUAACUAUGCACGUCUUGACGGUACCUAAUCAGAAAGCCACGGCUAACUACGUG
rnacentral:rRNA from 1 species